AUGUCCACCGACGCCGAACGUGCCGCCGUCGAGAAAGCUGAAGCCGACAAGAAGGCCGCCGAGGCCGCCGCUGCUGGCACCAAAGCCGCGGCCUCUGCAUGGCCUACUGGAGGGAAAAAUCUGGACCUUGUCCGCCUGUUUACAAUUAGGCAGAACAGGAUGCCAAAGCGGCCGCGGAAAUGUAAGCAUGGCGGCGGCCGUGAGCGACUUUACCUUGUCUUUGAUGACUGGUGCCAUGGAUAUAGCAUCCGCAUGGUGAACUUGUUGCCCGGCGAGAACCAUCAGCAGACUGCUUUCUCAGACCAAGACGACCAAGACAAGGUGCCACAUUUUCCUCGGCCUUUCUUCCGCAUGGUGGCGCCUCGUGAAUCUCCUAAGUACUUCACAUCAGCCUUUGGCACCAGGAUCUUGGCGAUGCAUCCGAGAGAUCCCGAGGGUGACUUGUUGGAAGGUUACUUCCCCAUGUUGGACGUCCGCUCGCGGUGUGUCACCACUGGCCCUAGGCAGAGAGAUCUUUUUUAUCCCAUCUACCACCUCCCGGUCGGCAACAAGCCAUUCACUAUGAGCUCUUACUCCUUCGAGAUGCUCUGCUUGGAGGAGCUCUCAGACAAGGUAUCGCAUCGAAAUUCCAGCAAAGAGUGGUCGUGGAAAGAGCUCGAGCAGCAGCCAUUUAAUGUUUGUGACGUCACUUCCUACUCCUUGCACCCUGAAGAACGGACCUUCCUCAUCAGCACCAAGAAGGACACCACCGAGGCCACCUUCAGCUUUGACACGGAGAGGCAUUCAUCGAAACUACUUGGCAAUUGGGUUCUGCCCUUCGACGGCCAGGGUCACUUUGACCAGCACCUCAAGGCCUUUGUCGGGCUCUCCAAAGAACCGGACACCCUCGGCCAAAUUUACUGCUGCGACGUGCCCAUCUAUGGUACCUGUGAAGGGCAGUGCCCUGUCCCUUCGAUGAAUCUCCGCAAGGAGAAUCUGUUCAUUUCUGGUGACCCAAGGGAUAAGCAUCUGCUCACGGAUCUCGAAGAGGUCGAGGAGGUCAACAAGCAGCUCGAUCAGAUGGGUUACAAUAUUGGAACUCGGUUGGUCGAUGAAUUCUUAGCCAAGUCAAAUGUAUCAAACUGUGCUGACUUCAAGGAGACUGCUGAUACUAUAGCAAAGGUUUCCGUGAAGACGGAGGUUACAUGGGUCCGUGAUAUGCUUCGCGGUGAUGAUGCCUACGAGAUGCGGGUGAAGCUCACCAAGCAAGUCCCGGAGGAAUACCCCUACAAGGAUGAUGACUAG
rnacentral:rRNA from 1 species